GUAACAGCGUUUAUUUCAAGAGAGUACUCCCCCAUACACAUAUUUCCACAGGUUAUAAACUGAAAAUGACGUCAGCGUUUUCUAAACGUUCUAUCUAUUUCACAAGUAGAGGGGCCCUCUAGCCUUCGCGUUAUCAGCACGAAGUCAAGGCCAGUCAGUAUAAAUCGACAUUCUAGACAGUCUGGAGAUGGGCCGUUCCCGCCACCUGGAGAUUUGUACACUGAAUGAACUAAGGAACAGACCUUCACUGUCACUAAACUCCUGACUACAUUAUAUACAAUUGGGAAUGGGAGCAAGAGAGAAAAUUCACAUGUACAGUACAUUAUAGCAUUUGGACUAGUCAGUUCUGAUUGGAAUGUGUACAUAAUUAGUCAUUUCAACCAUAAUUUCCUCUAACAAGAUUACAGCAUUAUAUCAGGCUAAUCAAGGUGCAGAUUACAGGAUUAUAUCAGGCUAAUCGGGGUGUAGAUUACAGCAUUAUAUCAGGCUAAUCAAGGUGCAGAUUACAGCAUUAUAUCAGGCUAAUGGGGGUGUAGAUUACAGCAUUAUAUCAGGCUAAUCAAGGUGUAGAUUACAGCAUUAUAUCAGGCUAAUGAAGGUGUAGAUUACAGCAUUAUAUCAGGCUAAUGGGGGUGUAGAUUACAGCAUUAUAUCAGGCUAAUCAAGGUGUAGAUUACAGCACUAUAUCAGGCUAAUAAAGGUGUAGAUUACAGCAUUAUAUCAGGCUAAUCAGGGUGUAGAUUACAGCAUUAUAUCAGGCUAAUCAAGGUGUAGAUUACAGCAUUAUAUCAGGCUAAUCAAGGUGCCGAUUACAGCAUUAUAUCAGGCUAAUCAAGGUGCCGAUUACAGCAUUAUAUCAGGCUAAUCAAGGUGUAGAUUACAGCAUUAUAUCAGGCUAAUCAAGGUGUAGAUUACAGCAUUAUA
ensembl:lncRNA